AGCUCCAGUUCCUUAAAUAGAUGUGCAGAUAUUGGGCAUGUGGAUUUCCUGGAGAAGGUUCACCAGCUGGCAGAAAGACCCUACAUCAUUGCUGGGCUGCACUUUGACCAGGAAGUAAACCGGUACAAAGGGAAGAACUAUCCCAUCAUGAACAUCCAUGAGAGAACGCUCAGUGUCUUAGCCUG